GAUGAACGCUGGCGGCGUGCCUAAUGCAUGCAAGUCGAACGCUGGAACUCUAGCUUGCUAGAUUGAAGGAGUGGCGAACGGGUGAGUAAUACAUAAGCAACCUACCCACGAAGACUGGGAUAAUCUCUGGAAACGGGGACUAAUACCGGAUAGGUAAUCGGAAGGCAUCUUCUGAUUAUUAAAGGUUAAAAACACUGGUGGAUGGGCUUAUGGCGCAUUAGUUAGUUGGUGAGGUAACGGCCCACCAAGACGAUGAUGCGUAGCCGGCCUGAGAGGGUGAACGGCCACAUUGGGACUGAGACACGGCCCAGACUCCUACGGGAGGCAGCAGUAGGGAAUUUUCGGCAAUGGGGGAAACCCUGACCGAGCAACGCCGCGUGAGUGAUGACGGCCUUCGGGUUGUAAAGCUCUGUUGUAAGGGAAGAACGGUAGAUAGAGAAUAUCUAAAUGACGGUACCUUACCAGAAAGCCACGGCUAACUACGUG
rnacentral:rRNA from 1 species